UUCCCAGCUCGGCUCACACAGAGAGAGCAGCAGGGGCUGCUUCUGCGCGCGGCCCCCACCCAGAACCCGCUGGAAGCUGAGCGCCGCACAGCUGCACACAACUGGCAACCCUCCCGGCUGGAUCCCCGAAGGGCGGCGCCGCGACCCUAAACCUCUGCGCGGGGAGACGUCAGGGCGGCCGCGUGCGUCUCCUCCCUCCGGCCGCUGUCCCGACCGCCGCCCCGGAGCACAGGGGCACUGAGCCCGCGGUCAGGGCGGACCCCGGAGCGGCGCCAGGCACAGCCUGGCUGGCGAAGCUCCCCGCGCGCCUCCGCUCCCGGGUGCGAGCGCUUCGAGCCGGGGCAGCCUGGGGCAGCGGGGAGUAACCGGGAGCGCACGGAGCCAGGGCGCACGCACAUCUGCAAACCCGUCCGCAAAGCUCUCCCUCUGCAAGCGUGUCGGGUUCGCGCGAAGGCCGGGCGGGAGGAACCCGGGGCGGCCGGGGGAGGCCUCGCGAAGUCGGCCCGGGGCGGCCGGGAGGCGACGGGAGAGGGGCCUGGCCCGCCGCCUGCAGGGUUCAGACGGGGCCAAGGAAGCCAAAAGCCGGCCGGCUCGCGCCAGCGCCAGGAGCCAAGGCUGACGCGGGGUGCUGAAUAAUGUUUGGACGGCGGGCGCAGCCCCCGGGCUCGGCGGGGACGCGCGCAAGGGGCGGGCGGCCUCCCUCGGCGCCUCUGCCCCGAGCCCGCGCAGCACGUUCCGCUGCGGGAGCGCUCCCGUCGCGGGCCCUGCCACCGCCGCGUCUGCCCCGAGGGCGGGCAGCAGGCGAUUCCAACCCCACUCGGCCCCUCGGGUCUCCCUGUUCUGGCGCGUGCCGGGGAUCCCUGAGCAGAUCGUGGGAGGACAGGAAAUGCGGGCCCACUCCCCACGAAAGCAGUCCACCCGCCCCGCGCAUGUUCCCAGGCGGGACAGCCCUGGGGCCCAGCGCUGAGAUGGCUUGCGCGCAGAACUUCCUGAAAGUGAGCACCUGCUUUGGGAAGAUGACAAGAACGGGGAACCCUGAAACUCAGCUGUGCUGAGACCCUGAAACUCACCUGUCGUGAGCCACAAAGGGGCCUCACACAGCCCUGUUAUCCCCUUACUGUCAUUAACAAGACUGUAAACAUAAACAGGUUUGUAUUUUACCUGGGCGCUUUCAACCCAUCUUUCCUCCUUAUCCUUACAGCAACCCUGUGACGCAGACAGAGCUGGUACCUAUUCAUUUUACAGGUGAGAAGUCGUAGGAGUGAGAAAGACCUGAGUUUCUGUGCCCAUUUGCCCAGCCGAGCUCUGUCAACCAAAGGCUGACCCCCUUCUCCCUCUCUCUCUCCCUCUCUCUCUUUCUCCUUCCCUCAGCGGGAAGCCACAUUUCCACCCCCUGCAACAUUCUUGAAGACGGUGGCCUCUAUUUCUCUGAGAAAUUAGGCCUUCUAGUCUUCUGCUGCCUGGAGAGGUGGUGAUAGCAAGUGAUGACGAAGCAGGUUCUCCUUACAGCAGGACACAUUCUGUGAGUGGCCUUCUUGAUGCUUUCCUUCCAGCUGCAAGGAGGAUCAGCACUCCUUGCCCUGGGCAAGUAGUUCUCAAAGUCUAGUCCUCAGACUGGCAGCCGGAGCGCCACCCAGGAACUUGUAAGAAGUCCAUUUGCAGCCUCUGCUCCACCCCAGACCUCCUGAAUCGGACACUCUGGAGGCGGAGCCCAGCAAUUUUGUUUUAAGGAACCAUCCAGUGGAUUCUGUGAUACAUGCUGAAGUUCUGGGAACCACUGUUCUAGAAAAACCUCUGCAGAAGCAGACUCCGAAUCCAAGAGCCUGACUGCCGCACUGCUGAGGAGGUCCGAGAAGGCAAGAAAUGAACUGGUCUGGCGAUCGGCAGCAGUGUGAUGGGUCCAUUCCUCAGAUUCUCUGUUAACUCUGUGUGUGUGUGUGUGUUUGUGUGUGUGCGCGUGUGCAUAUGUGGGUAAACCUUUGGGGCCACAUAAGAGAUUGGAAAGAAAUGGGGUCUUUCAGGGCGCCACACAAUACUGCGUUCACACACCCACUCGACUCACACACCGAGUGUUCCUGCUGUGGACCAGUCCCUCAACUUGCUAAGGAUGAUCUGGAUGUUCACUGAUUCUUUGAGUUGGAAGAAACAGGUGCAACCAGGUCAUGUCACGCAGUGGAACAGCAUUGCUAGGUGCCACUGCCCGGAAUCACUACAGUCUUUCUGAAAAGACAGUGACACAUCGGACUAGAGGCGCAGGCAGCAUAUUGAGGGUGGCAGAGAAGAGAGUUAGGAAACACUUGCCCAAACCUUCCGAGUACAACGAGUGAGACCAGAAUCUCCCUGCGAUACACAAGCAGAAAUGCAAGUCCCAUGCGGCAUCAGAGGGGUUAUCAGGAGGACGUUCAGAGGCUCUGACAACGCUAGGCCUUAGAUCGGCUGGUGUCCCGCAUCUGUCUGUCUCAAGAGUUUCCGGCUCUGUUGCUCACGCUGUCGGUCCCUUUUUGUGUCUGUUGUUUCCACUUUCUGCCGGUUUCCAGGUCAGAUUUUCAACAAUGAGAAACGGACUCGCCUCGUUGAGCAGCACAGCUUCUGAUGGGGAAGGACUUCUCAUGUGGGGCCUCCUCCUGGGUCGCUGGUCAGUCUGUGCAUUGGCUGUCGUUGAAUCAGGGUCCUGCUCCUGGGAAGGAGGGUGGAUACGGAACGUGGCCAGCCCCACUCAGCCCGAGGCAGAGGCCGUGGGCUGGGAAGCCUCCCUGACAAGUAAACAAGGCCCUUGGCAGGUACUGAGACUGACUUGCCACCACAGCCUUCUCGGGGAACAAUGAAAUGGCAGCGCUGAGCCAACCAGGGUCAGAACAAAGGAAUCCACUCCAACCACAACCCCCCUCCGCUGUUGAUCUGUCAUACACCCGACAGUCCGGGGGGGUCUGGCCAAAACGUGUGCCUGGGUGCCUCGAUCUGCCUCCAGACGCACAGUCGAACUGCUCAGAGACUAUCCCCACCCCGGGUGGGUCCCCGCAGGAAG